AUGCAAGUCGAACGAUGAACCACUUCGGUGGGGAUUAGUGGCGAACGGGUGAGUAACACGUGGGCAAUCUGCCCUGCACUCUGGGACAAGCCCUGGAAACGGGGUCUAAUACCGGAUACUGACCCGCUUGGGCAUCCAAGCGGUUCGAAAGCUCCGGCGGUGCAGGAUGAGCCCGCGGCCUAUCAGCUUGUUGGUGAGGUAAUGGCUCACCAAGGCGACGACGGGUAGCCGGCCUGAGAGGGCGACCGGCCACACUGGGACUGAGACACGGCCCAGACUCCUACGGGAGGCAGCAGUGGGGAAUAUUGCACAAUGGGCGAAAGCCUGAUGCAGCGACGCCGCGUGAGGGAUGACGGCCUUCGGGUUGUAAACCUCUUUCAGCAGGGAAGAAGCGAAAGUGACGGUACCUGCAGAAGAAGCGCCGGCUAACUACGUGCCAGCAGCCCGGGUAAUUCA
rnacentral:rRNA from 1 species